AUAUUUAAAAUGAUGAGUUCAUAGUUCAAAUGAAAUUAAGUGAUUACAUACUAGCAUUAUGUCUUUCGCUCCUAUCUGAUUAUUUUA